rnacentral:rRNA from 1 species
UGGGGAAUUUUGCGCAAUGGGGGAAACCCUGACGCAGCAACGCCGCGUGGAGGAUGAAAUCCCUUGGGAUGUAAACUCCUUUCGAUCGGGACGAUUAUGACGGUACCGGAAGAAGAAGCCCCGGCUAACUUCGUGCCAGCAGCCGCGGUAAUACGAGGGGGCAAGCGUGUCGGAUUAUUGGGCGUAAGGGCGCGUAGGCGGUUUGACAAGUCUGAUGUGAAAUCUCUGGGCUCAACCCAGAGUCUGCAUUAGAAACUGUCGAGCUUGAGUAUGGGAGAGGUGAGUGGAAUUUCCGGUAUAGCGGUGAAAUGCGUAGAUAUCGGAAGGAACACCUGUGGCGAAAGCGGCUCACUGGACCAUUAACUGACGCUGAGGCGCGAAAGCUAGGGGAGCAAAACA